CGCGGCCUAUCAGCUUGUUGGUGAGGUAACGGCUCACCAAGGCAACGACGGGUAGCUGGUCUGAGAGGACGAUCAGCCACACUGGGACUGAGACACGGCCCAGACUCUUACGGGAGGCAGCAGCAGGGAAUAUUGCACAAUGGGCGCAAGCCUGAUGCAGCGACGCCGCGUGAGGGAUGAAGGCCCUCAGGUUGUAAACCUCUUUCAGGAGGGACGAAGCGAAAGUGACGGUACCUCCAGAAGAGGCCCCGGCCAACUACGUGCCAGCAGCCGCGGUAAUACGUAGGGGGCGAGCGUUGUCCGGAUUCAUUGGGCGUAAAGAGCUCGUAGGCGGCUCAGUAAGUCGGCCGUGAAAGCCCGGAGCUCAACUCCGGGACGCCGGUCGAUACUGCUGUGGCUAGGGUCCGGUAGAGGAGAGUGGAAUUCCUGGUGUAGCGGUGAAAUGCGCAGAUAUCGGGAGGAACACCAGUAGCGAAGGCGGCUCUCUGGGCCGGUACCGACGCUGAGGAGCGAAAGCUAGGGGAGCAAACAGGAUUAGAUACCCUGGUAGUCCUAGCCGUAAACGUUGGGCACUAGGUGUGGCGGAUUCAUUGACAUCUGCCGUGCCGGCGCUAACGCAUUAAGUGCCCCGCCUGGGGAGUACGG
rnacentral:rRNA from 1 species